rnacentral:rRNA from 1 species
GGAGGGUGCAAGCGUUAUCCGGAUUCACUGGGUUUAAAGGGUGCGUAGGCGGGCGUUUAAGUCAGUGGUGAAAUCCUGCAGCUUAACUGCAGAACUGCCAUUGAUACUAUUCGUCUUGAAUGUCGUGGAGGUUAGCGGAAUAUGUCAUGUAGCGGUGAAAUGCUUAGAUAUGACAUAGAACACCUAUUGCGAAGGCAGCUAACUACGCGAAUAUUGACGCUGAGGCACGAAAGCGUGGGGAUCAAACAGGAUUAGAUACCCUGGUAGUCCACGCCCUAAACGAUGAUUACUCGACAUUGGCGAUACACAGUCAGUGUCUGAGCGAAAGCAUUAAGUAAUCCACCUGGGAAGUACGACCGCAAGGUUGAA